GCCCAAAUGACGAGUCCAAAACAGGACGAAAUGUACGUUACCGGAC
rfam:Schistosoma margrebowiei strain Zambia genome assembly, scaffold: SMRZ_scaffold0000901